GGGGCCCAAUGCACUGGUCCUGGUCCCAGAGGCCUGUUUGGACAGGUCAGUGCCCAUCCAGUGGUCAGUUUGUGCAAUGCAGAAUUAGACUCCACAGGCCGACUGGGAUGGGGUGAAGCAGAUGGAGCUUGGGAAAGCAAGGCCAAAAAGUCACUGAUGGUGAGGGACACCAGCUGGCUGGAGUGUGGGGACCAUCAGGACUAAUGGCCUGAAGUGGAGGGGCCCCUCGGUCUGGCCCUGAGACCUCUGAAACUGUGAGCCCACGGAGCCCUUUCCUCUCAGCAGCUCCCCUCUCAGGCCACAGGAAAGGCCCACUCAGCAAACCCCCGUCUCCACCUCGGAAUGAUGCGGUUAUGACACGUUCUUCUCUACAGUUGGGACCUGAGGCCAUCUCUGUCCUCGGCGAGGCCCCUGCUGUCCAGACCCUGGACCCACAGCCUUCCUGAGAGCUUCAGGAGGGACCUGGGAACCCAGCCGGAGUGUUCCUGGUCCCCUGCAAGACAAUGGCUCACUGAAGGGUUUGUUAUUCAUAAAUGUGUUACCAAGGACCUGUCACCGACCAGGAUCUGUGCUGAGCCCUGGGGCAGGGUGUUCAACUCACCAGAACCCUCCUUUUGCCUGAGGUCGUUAAUUAGAACCAGAAUCAGCCCUGAGCCCAAGUGAAGCUAGUAUAGAACAUGCGUAGGAGAGAAGGCAAGUGCCAGAGGCUCAGGGUACUUGGCUCUGGAAGAAUCUGGGAGGGCCUCAUGCAACCAGCUGUGGUCUACAGAUGCCACCUGCUACCCCAUCUCCUCUUGCUACAAUUGGCUUCAGAAGAGAGGGCUUGACAUGAUUCUGGCCAGAGCUCUUCCCUUUCUGCAGAGGGGAUUCAUGAAUUUUAAUGACCACCAGCAGUGGCAGCAUCAUCACCACCAGCACCAUCACAAUGCUCACCACCAACAGCCCCAUGAUCACCACCACCAUCAUUACCAUGAUUACCACCACCACCACCACCAUGAUCAUUACCAUCACCACCACCAUCAUAAUCAUCACCACCACCAUCAUUAUGAUCACCACUUCUACCACCACUACCAUUACCACUAUCAUUAUCACACCACCACCGUGAUCACCACCAUCAUCAUCACUACGAUCAACACCAUCACCAGCACCACCAUCACUAUGCUCACUACCCUCACCACUACCACUAGUGCUGCUGCCACCACCACCACACCAUCACCAUGAUCACUAUAUCACCACCGUCACCAUGAUCAUCACCACCAUCAUUACCAUGAUUACCACCACCACCACCAUGAUCAUUACCAUCACCACCACCAUCCACCACCAUCAUAAUCAUCACCACCACCAUCAUUAUGAUCACCACUUCUACCACCACUACCAUUACCACUAUCAUUAUCACACCACCACCGUGAUCACCACCAUCAUCAUCACUACGAUCAACACCAUCACCAGCACCACCAUCAUCACCACAACAGCAAGCCAGCUCCUCCCAUUUGGCUAU